CAAAAUGGCGCAAAUGGAAAAACAACAGCGAUGCCGAAGAGACUCAUGUGAUCUUUUAGACGAAGAUAGACGAAAAUGGCCGAUCUAUCACCCGUGAAGGGAGGAGGAGACAGGAUGGUUAAGUACCAUAUUGUCAGGAAACAGCUGACUGAGUCUAAAGCUCCAGAGAGGAGGCUGAGCUGGGACGCCAUGUAGUAGAUCAGGUAUCUGAAGCAGGAGCUACCAGAGGAAUGGACCGUUGACCAUCUGUCCGAGGGCUUCUCCUUGCAUCGUGACAUCUUCCUCAGAGUCCUCCGAAGCAAGUUCACCCCAGGCUGAGACAGCAGGCCAUACCUGGAGGUGGGACAGGGUAGACAACGGGCCCUACCUGGGGUUGGAGGAACAGGGGGACACGGUAGGCAACAGGUCCAACCUGGGGGUGGAGGUGGGACAGGGUAGGCAGCAGCUGCCUGGCUCUGGAGACAGCAGCAGUAGCACACCAGCCAUGCCACCCAACAGAAGUGGCACCGGUGCUUUGGUCCUGCUAACCAGCCAGAGUCUGAUACCCAAGGAGGGGAGGAUUGCCCUAGACCCAUGACUAUUGGAAACAGCCCUGCUCCUCUGGCCUCACUACCCACCCUGCACAGCAGACGCAACUCAGGACAAAAUAACUCUAGGGAGGAGGAAGAUGAGAAAGAUCCAGAGGACAAUGUGUCGGAGAAGGUUGAGGAGAAAGACGAGCAGAUGGAGAGAUGGGAUGGGAACAGUGUUAUCAGUGGAAGAACUGGAGGAACUAAUGCGGUCUACAAAGCCCUGGCCUGUGCUACAGAAUGGAAAAUAGUUAAUUUUCUUCUGAGGGAAACUUCCUGUACAGAAUCUGAAGUUGAGAUGUUUAUAGUUUGAAGAUUUUUCUGUAAUGCAGUAAUAUGCAACCUUUAUUUAAAGAUGACAGACUGAUAAUGUCACUUUAUUCACCAUUCAUCUGUUAAGGUUUGAUUUUACAUUCUUGUAUCAAGUUGUUUUUCUGAACAUUAACAAAAUAAAAUCUACUCUUAUGCUAUAUAUAUAUAUAUAUAUAU